rnacentral:rRNA from 1 species
GACGAACGCUGGCGGCGUGCUUAACACAUGCAAGUCGAGCGGUAAGGCCCUUUCGGGGGUACACGAGCGGCGAACGGGUGAGUAACACGUGGGUGACCUGCCCUCAGCUCUGGGAUAAGCCUGGGAAACCGGGUCUAAUACUGGAUAUGACUCCAUGACGCAUGUUGUGGGGUGGAAAGCCUUGUGCGGCUGAGGAUGGGCCCGCGGCCUAUCAGCUUGUUGGUGGGGUAAAGGCUCACCAAGGCGA